GGGGUUUUAUGGGUUCCUAUGGGGUCCUAUGGGGUUCUAUGGGCCUUAUGGGGUCUUAUGGGGUCCUAUGGGAUCCUAUGGGUUCCUAUGGGGUUUUAUGGGUGCUUUUGGGGUUCUGAGG